GGCAGAGCAAUGGAGGAUGGAUUUGGAGCUGCAAGGCAAUAAACUGGUAACUGAACAAACAUGCAACCUCAAAGAGAAAAGUUUGAGGAAAUCACUUCAAGGACAAAAAAUUGCAAUGUAAAGAGAAUUAUUUAUCUCCAAAUUCCAGAUUACCCCCCUGCCCAACCCCUGCCAGCAGCACCGUCCACAUGGUUUCUCAUUUAGUUUUGUGUUAGUUUAACAAAGUAGACUCUGCAAUCUGGAUAAAAUAGUAAGUCACCUCAGAUGGAUCUGAGAACGCUGUCUGGGCUUGGUACCAAGAGCUGGUAUUUCACAGCAGCGACCGCCUCACAGACGAGCUGUGGGAAGCAGGAGGGAGACUCUCUCUUAGGGUGCCACUACUAUGGAGACACAGCUGGGCUGAACAAGAUUUGCUUCAAACGACAACAAGAGAGACAGAAAGUAUCUGGUUCAACCGCUGCCCGAGCAGGCAGGCACCAGAAGAGCUAGCAGCCAAUCCGGCCAUGCUCGAAGCCAGCUCUGCAGCUCAGCCAAUCAGUGACAUCAUUGCUUUCUUUAGCUUGCCCAUGGUGAUGUGAAGAUGAGAAGAAAUAGCAAGGCCCAACCAGUUCUUCAUCUGGAGACAGUUCAACGUUCUGCAAACCAGAUCUUCAGGAAUUUUACUGGGAUAAUUAUCCAAAUAAAUUGCAAGCAUUCUAUCCAAAUGGAGCUCUUUCUGAGAUGAAGAGAAUUCUCAAUGUCAAGAUUUGAACAAGAAGAGAAUGGAAUACACAAUAUGGACAUCCAUAAAAAUUCAUCAGAGAGCAUUUUACUACUGAGCUGCAAAGGUAGGAAAAAUAAAUUUUUUUUGGUUAGAAAAUAUACUUCUUUCAUCUGCGUUUCAAUAAUUUAUUCCCCUUGUUAGAUAUACAUGGAAUUGAUAUUGCUUAUUCUGACUAAGUGAAAAGUGUUAUUUCUACUUACUGCUCAAUUAGAAACAUGUAGUGUUUAAUUGUCAGUUUGAAUUUUUCUUUCAUACUAUUACAGUUUAUAUUUUACUAUAGGCAGAAUUUCCUCUUUAUCCUAAAUUUUGAUAUUCUCCAUAAUUUCAUCGUGCCUUGACAUUGCUGUAUAUAAUUUCUAUACAUCAGGAAGGCAAUUCUGUGUGCAUGUGUGUGUGUAUAUAUAUAGUUAGAAGUUAGAAACUGAAACUCUUUUUUGUCUACCAUCAUUUCAUAUUUUUCUUGCUAUUUCAAACCUAUAAUUUUUAAAGAAACGACUAACGUAAUCAUUCAUAGAAUAUGCUGUCAGUAACUUAACAAUAUAAAUGUUAACAUGGAGGCAUUUAGUUCAGCAUUUGCUUUACUUAAUAGAGUGCAGAAAAUGUGGCCCUUUUCUCAGUUAGGGUGUAUGUGAAGAUAAAUUUAGAAUUUCUAGACUAGUAAA
rnacentral:lncRNA from 1 species